CCCGGACUCUGUUUUGCCUACUGCUUCAGCAGCAGAGGGUCUCCGUCAGUUUCUACACAGGAGGCAGAGAAAAUGUGUGCAUUUCAGCUGCAUGCCAAUAGACUUUAGCUGGUGGUGCUGAGCUACACAAGGUGGGGGUGAUCCUGAGCCCGGUGUUUAUUUGGAUGGUGAAACUCCAGGGACUUCUGUCGAACAGACCGUUCCCCAUCCAGGCGAGACCGCUGAGAGUGCAGAGUUCAGCAUCUAGAACAACAUCUUCCUGGACAAGCGUCUCUCUGCUGGGCGGAGGGCCUGGAGCACAGGAAUGAGACGAAAGAUCUGCUUCGAGGAGACCGUUUCAAGGAUCUGGGUUCCUCCUGGUGUUCAAUUUCCCAAAGAACAUGCUUACUGAGGCUGUGAGAAGAAAUCCUUUCCCUUGAUUUCUGAUGUAGAAAUACAGCUAAAGCAGGGUUAAGUGUCAUUGCCCUUGUGGCUACUUU